ACCAUCCUGUGACGUGUUUCCAUCAGCAGGGGACGGACGUGCGGAGUUUUCCUGUAAACAUAAGUGCAAAGAAACACGCAAAUGGAGACCUUGCACAUCCAGCUGGACGAUAGACGUACGACACGUGCAAGUUACGCAGUCAUCGGUUAAGAGUGCGACCGAAGAGACGACGCAACAGACGGCAGUACUGGUGACGCGGGAGUGCGGGAGUGAAAGUAACUGCUUCUGGGAUUGUACCGGGAAUCAUCUUUCACCUGUGCUCAUUAACUUGGCAACCCUAAUUAGCAGUCAUGUCGCCGCGCACCUUCCUUCACUACAGGAAAAAAAAAGCGAGCACAGCGCUGCCUCGCUGACGUCUGUGUGCGUGUGCGCACGAGCGUUACUCAUCAGUGCUGCAGAGAGCUGGUGAGAGAGAGAGAGAGAGAGAGAGAGAGAAAGAAAGGGAGGAGGGGAAGAGAAAUCUGCCGUGCUAAGUGCUUUCUCUCUCUCUCUCUCUCUCUCCUUGUCGCGAUGUUGCUGCUGGUCUUAAAUAUUUCAGGACGAUGCUGGAGGAAGAGGAGUUACAAAAGGGAAACAGGGAGGAAGAGAGAUCUGAAGAUAAAGGAAGAGGAACUAAAACAAGGAAAGAGAGGAAGGAGAAAUAACUGGAUCGUCCCAAUUUGUUUACUCGAACACUACAGUACAGGCCGUGGGCUCCGACGGAGAAAAGGGAGUACUCCUGCCCUCACUUCCUAAGGAUCAACCGUACUGCUUGGACAGUUCGGUCUAGAAAGGCUCCUCCAUAGCAAGUAGUACUUUCUCUUCUACCACAUCGAUUGUUCCACACCUGUAUGGGACCACAAAAUGGACCAGACACCUGUAAAACAUCAAUAUUAAUGUUUGGAAUAUAACACGGCACUACUACUAAUACUACGUCCAUAGAACAGCUGGAAAAAAACGCUUUAGAUAGUACAAAGAUAUGGAGAGAGAAACAUGGAUGUGUAUACACACACACACACACACACACACACACACACACACACACACACACACACACACACACACACGUCUAAAACCCAUGAGUCGUCAUCAGGGUGCUGGUGAUAAUGUUUAGUGGUGCGGCUCCUAAGUGCGAGAGUUAAACACAAGUGAUGCCAGUAGCGAGGAAAGGGAUAGGUGUGUGUGUGUGUGUGUGUGUGUGUGUGUGUGUGUGUGUGUGUGUGUGUGUGUGUGUGUGUGUGUAGCCAACACCCUAACUUCAAGGCAGAAAUUACAAAAGUUAGGGGAAUUAUGAUGUCCAGACACUUCUUCCUGGUCGGUGCUCCUGCAGUGUGUUAGGGGUGUUUACUGCCGCUCUGGAAUGCUGCCCGUGGUUGUGACGCUGUUGAUUUUUGUUCCAAUACCGCUACUGAUGAUAACUGACACAUUAUUAUUAUUAUUAUUACUACAUAGUUUAAUGGAAUGAAUCUAGUUUUACUUGGUACUGAAAGUGUUGACUACAAUUUGAUGAUGGAACACUAACUCUGUAUAUUUCUUACAGUGAACUUGCCAGUGCAUAUACGUCGUGCAACACUGCCGCCACUGUGUCCAUAAUAAGUGACUCUCCCUGCCCUCGUCCUGCCCAGUACCAGGUCAGGUCAUCCAUACCUAGUCACUUAGAACUGGAGCAGCAACAUCGUGAAUAGUAGCUACAACCAACACCACCACAAUCACCAUCAAGCUAGUGUGAAUCCAGACAUUGACAUGUAAUGGAGAUUCUCUCUCUCUCUCUCUCUCUCUCUCUCUCUCUCUCUCUCUCUCUCUCUCUCUCUCUCUCUCUCUCUCUCUCUCAGCUCACAGCCCCACAGUAUGUCCCCCCACAGUAUGUUGACUUACCCACAGUCACUUCACCACAGUCCCUCCCAAAUAAAGCCAACCCUCUCUCUCUCUCUCUCUCUCUCUCUCUCUCUCUCUCUCUCUCUCUCUCUCUCUCUCUCUCUCUCUCUCUCUCUCUCUCUCUCUCUCUCUCUCUCUCUCUCUCUCUCAACUCACAGCCCCACAGUAUGUCCCCCCACAGUAUGUUGACUUCUGUCUUAUUGCUACCUUUUUUUAAUGUAUCUUCUCUUUCUCCCCUUUCUGUCGUAUUGCUACCUUUAUUUAAUGUAUAUGU